rnacentral:rRNA from 1 species
GUGGGGGAUAUUGCACAAUGGGGGAAACCCUGAUGCAGCGACGCCGCGUGAAGGAAGACGUACUUCGGUAUGUAAACUUCUAUCAGCAGGGAAGAAGAUGACGGUACCUGACUAAGAAGCCCCGGCUAACUACGUGCCAGCAGUCGCGGUAAUACGUAGGGGGCAAGCGUUAUCCGGAUUUACUGGGUGUAAAGGGAGCGUAGACGGUGAAGCAAGUCUGAUGUGAAAACCCGGGGCUCAACUCCGGGAUUGCAUUGGGAACUGUUUUACUUGAGUGCUGGAGGGGCAAGCGGAAUUCCUGGUGUAGCGGUGAAAUGCGUAGAUAUCAGGAAGAACACCGGUGGCGAAGGCGGCUUGCUGGACAGUAACUGACGUUGAGGCUCGAAAGGGUGGGGAGCAAACAGGAUUAGAUACCCGAGUAGUCC